AGCCGGGGGCUGGCGCUGAAGCUGGGCCGGGCCGCGCAGGCGGAAGGGGCAGUGACCUGAAUGUUUGCUUCCUUUCCUCUUGCCUGGAGGAGAUGAGAUCUCUGGGGGAUCUUGCUGGGAAAUGCAUCUGAGUUACUGUGUGAUCUUCUAGACAAACUUUACUUUCCUGUCAAUUUCUCACUGUUAGAAAAAGCAAAAACAAGGGGAAUAAAUGGUUUUCUGGGGUCUCUGGUUUUCCAAUAAAAGCUUCCACUUAA